UGGAGACGAGGCUGCAGGCUAGCCUCAUAAGUAGGAGGAAUGUGAAACUUAAAUAAGGGAAGCCCACAAGAUGGAGGUUUAGAGAAACGAUAUUCAGGCUUGAGAGCACUUAUGAAACCAAAGGUGGAUUAAUGAAUCAUCAAAUGGAAAAUAGCUAACCUAAUCAGUGUUUGUGUUUAAAUUAUAUCCGUUACAGAAAUCAGCUCCUGGAUACAUCAGAUUCAAGUCAAAGCCUAAAGAGCUGAGAAAGCAACUCCUAAUAGCCCAGAAAAAUGUCCUAUCAAUG